UACAGAGGGUGCAAGCGUUAAUCGGAAUUACUGGGCGUAAAGCGAGCGUAGUCGGUUAUUUAAGUCGGGUGUGAAAGCCCCGGGCUCAACCUGGGAAUUGCAUUCGAUACUGGAUAGCUAGAGUUCGGCAGAGGGAAGCGGAAUUUCCGGUGUAGCGGUGAAAUGCGUAGAUAUCGGAAGGAACAUCAGUGGCGAAAGCGGCUCCCUGGACCAGAACUGACGAUCAGGCUCGAAAGCGUGGGGAGCGAACAGG
rnacentral:rRNA from 1 species